AUUGAACGCUGGCGGCACGCUUAACACAUGCAAGUCGAACGAGACCUUCGGGUCUAGUGGCGCACGGGUGCGUAACGCGUGGGAAUCUGCCCUUUGCUACGGAAUAACUCAGAGAAAUUUGUGCUAAUACCGUAUAAUGUCGAAAGACCAAAGAUUUAUCGGCAAAGGAUGAGCCCGCGUAGGAUUAGCUAGUUGGUGAGGUAAAGGCUCACCAAGGCGACGAUCCUUAGCUGGUCUGAGAGGAUGAUCAGCCACACUGGGACUGAGACACGGCCCAGACUCCUACGGGAGGCAGCAGUGGGGAAUAUUGGACAAUGGGCGAAAGCCUGAUCCAGCAAUGCCGCGUGAGUGAUGAAGGCCUUGGGGUUGUAAAGCUCUUUUACCAGGGAUGAUAAUGACAGUACCUGGAGAAUAAGCUCCGGCUAACUCCGUGCCAGCCGCCGCGGUAAUAC
rnacentral:rRNA from 1 species